rnacentral:rRNA from 1 species
GGCGCGAAAACUUUACAAUGCUGGCAACAGCGAUAAGGGAACCUCGAGUGCCAGGUUACAAAUCUGGCUGUCGAGAUUCCUAAAAAGCAUUUCAUAGCAAGGGCCGGGCAAGACCGGUGCCAGCCGCCGCGGUAACACCGGCGGCUCGAGUGGUAACCGUUAUUAUUGGGUCUAAAGGGUCUGUAGCCGGCCGGAUAAGUCUCUUGAGAAAUCUGGCAGCUUAACUGUCAGGCUUUCAGGAGAUACUGUCUGGCUCGAGGCCGGGAGAGGUGAGAGGUACUUCAGGGGUAGGGGUGAAAUCUUGUAAUCCUUGAAGGACCACCAGUGGCGAAGGCGUCUCACCAGAACGGACCUGACGGCAAGGGACGAAAGCUAGGGGCACGAACCG